rnacentral:rRNA from 1 species
CACGUAAGGGGCGAGCGUUGUUCGGAAUUAUUGGGCGUAAAGGGCGUGCAGGCGGUCAUGUAAGUCUGUUGUGAAAUCCCGGGGCUUAACUCCGGAGGCGCGAUGGAAACUGUGUGACUAGAAUCUUGGAGGGGGAGUUGGAAUUCCUAGUGUAGGGGUGAAAUCUGUUGAUAUUAGGAAGAACACCGGUGGCGAAGGCGAACUCCUGGCCGAAGAUUGACGCUGAGGCGCGAAAGCGUAGGUAGCAAACAGGAUUAGAUACCCUGGUAGUCUACGCUGUAAACGAUGUACACUUGGUGUUGGCCUGUUUAGGGUCAGUGCCGAAGCUAACGCGAUAAGUGUACCGCCUGGGGAGUAUGCCCGCAAGGGUGAA